rnacentral:rRNA from 1 species
GACGAACGCUGGCGGCGUGCUUAACACGUGCAAGUCGAACGGAAAGGCCCUGCUUUUGUGGGGUGCUCGAGUGGCGAACGGGUGAGUAACACGUGAGUGACCUGCCCUUGACUUUGGGAUAACUUCAGGAAACUGGGGCUAAUACCGGAUAGGAGCUCCUGCUGCAUGGUGGGGGGGAGAAAGUUUCGGCGGGUGGGGAUGGACUCGCGGCUGAUCAGCUUGUUGGUGGGGUAGUGGCAUACCACGGCAUUGACGGGUAGCCGGCCUGAGAGGGUGACCGGCCACAUUGGGACUGAGAUACGGACCAGACUCCUACGGGAGGCAGAAGUGGGGAAUAUUGCACAAUGGGCGGAAGCCUGAUGCAGCAACGCCGCGUGUGGGAUGACGGCCUUCGGGUUGUAAACCGCUUACGCCUGUGACGAAGCGUGAGUGACGGUAACGGGUAAAGAAGCACCGGCUAACUACGUG